AAGUCGAGGGGCAGCAUGGUCUUAGCUUGCUAAGGCCGAUGGCGACCGGCGCACGGGUGAGUAACACGUAUCCAACCUGCCGUCUACUCUUGGACAGCCUUCUGAAAGGAAGAUUAAUACAAGAUGGCAUCAUGAGUCCGCAUGUUCACAUGAUUAAAGGUAUUCCGGUAGACGAUGGGGAUGCGUUCCAUUAGAUAGUAGGCGGGGUAACGGCCCACCUAGUCUUCGAUGGAUAGGGGUUCUGAGAGGAAGGUCCCCCACAUUGGAACUGAGACACGGUCCAAACUCCUACGGGAGGCAGCAGUGAGGAAUAUUGGUCAAUGGGCGAGAGCCUGAACCAGCCAAGUAGCGUGAAGGAUGACUGCCCUAUGGGUUGUAAACUUCUUUUAUAAAGGAAUAAAGUCGGGUAUGCAUACCCGUUUGCAUGUACUUUAUGAAUAAGGAUCGGCUAACUCCGUGCCAGCAGCCGCGAUAAUACGGAGGAUCCGAGCGUUAUCCGGAUUUAUUGGGUUUAAAGGGAGCGUAGAUGGAUGUUUAAGUCAGUUGUGAAAGUUUGCGGCUCAACCGUAAAAUUGCAGUUGAUACUGGAUAUCUUGAGUGCAGUUGAGGCAGGCGGAAUUCGUGGUGUAGCGGUGAAAUGCUUAGAUAUCACGAAGAACUCCGAUUGCGAAGGCAGCCUGCUAAGCUGCAACUGACA
rnacentral:rRNA from 1 species